CGGGUACGGGGACCGUGUCAGGCGGGCAGUUUGACUGGGGCGGUCGCCUCCUAAAGAGUAACGGAGGCGUCCCAAGGUUCCCUCAGAAUGGUUGGAAAUCAUUCGAAGAGUGCAAAGGCAGAAGGGAGCUUGACUGCGAGACCUACAAGUCGAGCAGGGACGAAAGUCGGGCUUAGUGAUCCGGUGGUACCGCAUGGAAGGGCCAUCGCUCAACGGAUAAAAGCUACCCUGGGGAUAACAGGCUUAUCUCCCCCAAGAGUCCACAUCGACGGGGAGGUUUGGCACCUCGAUGUCGGCUCAUCGCAUCCUGGGGCUGAAGUAGGUCCCAAGGGUUGGGCUGUUCGCCCAUUAAAGCGGUACGCGAGCUGGGUUCAGAACGUCGUGAGACAGUUCGGUCCCUAUCUGUCGUGGGCGCAGGAAAUUUGAGAGGAGCUGUCCUUAGUACGAGAGGACCGGGAUGGACGUACCGCUGGUGCACCAGUUGUUCCGCCAGGAGCAC
rnacentral:rRNA from 1 species